UGGAAAAACUACAUAAUCCUUGAUACUAAAGGCAAAUACCUGGAGCCCGUUGCUCCGAGGUUAUGUGGGGAUGACCGUUCUUGUUCUGGUCGACCCACUAAAAAGUACACCCUUUGGCUGGACUAAUCCACACGACGAAACUGCCGUCAAGAUUUAAACUUUACGGAAUAUAUUUAUUUAGGAGAAAAAGUAAAAAUAAAAAAAGAGGUGUGGAAUUCUAUUGUAAAUCAAGAACUAGACUCAAAGUUUGUCAAAUAUUUAGCAACAGCAAUAUUUGGCAGAAAUGAGCUAGUUAAUUCGUAUCUGAAGGAAACUCCAAACAUUAUAAAUUUGCCAAAUAGAUCUCCACGCAAAUUGUUAAAUGAAAAAAAAAAAGAAAUAUUAUACAAAUGCUUCGUAGAUAGAUUGGAUAACGUAAAGAAUAAAAUCGAACGAGAAAAAAAAUUUGGGUACUACAUUAGCCAGCAUAUUCGUACACUUAGGAAUCUUAUGCAUCCAG